rnacentral:lncRNA from 1 species
UGCCAGCACAUGGGAGAGAAGCAGCCAAAUGGUAGAACAAAGCACCACAGUGACUUUUCUGAUACUCUGCAAAUCAUGAUUUUUUUCCCCAGCCUAUAAUUUCUGUUCUGAGACAUGAUUUAGAGAUCUCUUUGUUACCAUCACACAAGUCACUGUCCUCCAGGACUCCAAAGGUGACUUGGCUCAGGUUGAGAUUUGCAGGGAUGGAGGCUACAAUUUUCCUGGCAGCUGCCUCCAGCUAAUGGUAUCCUGUCCAUCCAGGGGAACAUGGGCACCUUCAGCAUACCUCUAGUGCCAGUCAGCCCUCCUGUUACCCAGCUUGGGGUAUAGCUGCUGUGCUUCUUUCCUAAAUACCCACAGUGUGAAUCCAGAUCUCCUCCCCGUGCAGUGUAAGAAACCAGUCCAGGCAUGCUCUCAAGCCUUCAGCCAGAAAGCCAGGAUGGCCACAGGACUCAUUACCCUCGCAGCAAAACAUCAGAGAUGUCUUUAUUAAAUUAGCCUUUCUCAGAAAGGCUUUCCCAAACAUGGAGAGCAGCAGAAAGCCUCAAAGAAGCCUAUUCCCUGAUCUCCUUCCAAAGUCACCUACUUAAAGGAUCAUCUCAUAAUGGGGACUGAUUGCCUGUUUGAUCUCAGCGAGCCUCAGUUUCACAGGAAACCACACAGGUACCUCAGGGCCACCGCAGCAACACUUAUGACUGGGAGUAUUUGUGCAUACAUGGAUUCUCGCACAGUAUUUGUUCUGCAGUUAAACACCUUAAAUAACCCUUAGAAAUUAUUCUGGCUGUAUUUAAAAGUGGUAGCGUAGCAACUGAUUUUUUUUUUUUCCAAACAGUGAGGGAAGUGAGUUCUAAUCCUCUUGAGGGUGCUGUUUAUUAAAAUUUCCACCAUGGAAAUUACAGAGUAUCUUCCUCUUUCCCGAAACAAUUCUGAACUAAUUGCAACAGAAACAUUUUAUUUGGUUGAGAUACAGAAAAUGAAGAAAACUUUAUUUUUCCUUUUUUUCCUUUUUUUCUUUUUUUUUUUUUUUCAGCAGUGCGGUGACGAGGAGCUGGUGUUCUGUGGCCCAACUAGGACUGCCCUUUCCUUUGGCUGUCGAGGACUGCACUCGAUGGGAAGAGUUCUGCUUGUAGCCCAUGUUGCUCAAGCAGGGGAACUAAAACAAGCAUUCAAAAGGAUGACUCCUUGUCUCCAGUAG